UUAAGUUAUUAAGGGCGCACGGUGGAUGCCUUGGCACUAGAAGCCGAUGAAGGACGUUACUAACGACGAUAUGCUUUGGGGAGCUGUAAGUAAGCUUUGAUCCAGAGAUUUCCGAAUGGGGAAACCCAGCAUGAGUUAUGUCAUGUUAUCGAUAUGUGAAUACAUAGCAUAUCAGAAGGCACACCCGGAGAACUGAAACAUCUUAGUACCCGGAGGAAGAGAAAGAAAAUUCGAUUCCCUUAGUAGCGGCGAGCGAAACGGGAAGAGCCCAAACCAACAAGCUUGCUUGUUGGGGUUGUAGGACACUCUGUACGGAGUUACAAAGGACGACAUUAGACGAAUCAUCUGGAAAGAUGAAUCAAAGAAGGUAAUAAUCCUGUAGUCGAAAAUGUUGUCUCUCUUGAGUGGAUCCUGAGUACGACGGAGCACGUGAAAUUCCGUCGGAAUCUAGGAGGACCAUCUCCUAAGGCUAAAUACUCUCUAGUGACCGAUAGUGAACCAGUACCGUGAGGGAAAGGUGAAAAGCACCCCGGAAGGGGAGUGAAAUAGAACCUGAAACCGUGUGCUUACAAGUAGUCAGAGCCCGUUAAUGGGUGAUGGCGUGCCUUUUGUAGAAUGAACCGGCGAGUUACGAUUUGAUGCAAGGUUAAGCAGUAAAUGUGGAGCCGUAGCGAAAGCGAGUCUGAAUAGGGCGUUUAGUAUUUGGUCGUAGACCCGAAACCAGGUGAUCUACCCUUGGUCAGGUUGAAGUUCAGGUAACACUGAAUGGAGGACCGAACCGACUUACGUUGAAAAGUGAGCGGAUGAACUGAGGGUAGCGGAGAAAUUCCAAUCGAACCUGGAGAUAGCUGGUUCUCUCCGAAAUAGCUUUAGGGCUAGCCUCAAGUGAUGAUUAUUGGAGGUAGAGCACUGUUUGGACGAGGGGCCCCUCUCGGGUUACCGAAUUCAGACAAACUCCGAAUGCCAAUUAAUUUAACUUGGGAGUCAGAACAUGGGUGAUAAGGUCCGUGUUCGAAAGGGAAACAGCCCAGACCACCAGCUAAGGUCCCAAAAUAUAUGUUAAGUGGAAAAGGAUGUGGCGUUGCCCAGACAACUAGGAUGUUGGCUUAGAAGCAGCCAUCAUUUAAAGAGUGCGUAAUAGCUCACUAGUCGAGUGACACUGCGCCGAAAAUGUACCGGGGCUAAACAUAUUACCGAAGCUGUGGAUUGUCCUUUGGACAAUGGUAGGAGAGCGUUCUAAGGGCGUUGAAGCAUGAUCGUAAGGACAUGUGGAGCGCUUAGAAGUGAGAAUGCCGGUGUGAGUAGCGAAAGACGGGUGAGAAUCCCGUCCACCGAUUGACUAAGGUUUCCAGAGGAAGGCUCGUCCGCUCUGGGUUAGUCGGGUCCUAAGCUGAGGCCGACAGGCGUAGGCGAUGGAUAACAGGUUGAUAUUCCUGUACCACCUAUAAUCGUUUUAAUCGAUGGGGGGACGCAGUAGGAUAGGCGAAGCGUGCGAUUGGAUUGCACGUCUAAGCAGUAAGGCUGAGUAUUAGGCAAAUCCGGUACUCGUUAAGGCUGAGCUGUGAUGGGGAGAAGACAUUGNGUCUUCGAGUCGUUGAUUUCACACUGCCGAGAAAAGCCUCUAGAUAGAAAAUAGGUGCCCGUACCGCAAACCGACACAGGUAGUCAAGAUGAGAAUUCUAAGGUGAGCGAGCGAACUCUCGUUAAGGAACUCGGCAAAAUGACCCCGUAACUUCGGGAGAAGGGGUGCUCUUUAGGGUUAACGCCCAGAAGAGCCGCAGUGAAUAGGCCCAAGCGACUGUUUAUCAAAAACACAGGUCUCUGCUAAACCGUAAGGUGAUGUAUAGGGGCUGACGCCUGCCCGGUGCUGGAAGGUUAAGAGGAGUGGUUAGCUUCUGCGAAGCUACGAAUCGAAGCCCCAGUAAACGGCGGCCGUAACUAUAACGGUCCUAAGGUAGCGAAAUUCCUUGUCGGGUAAGUUCCGACCCGCACGAAAGGCGUAACGAUUUGGGCACUGUCUCAACGAGAGACUCGGUGAAAUCAUAGUACCUGUGAAGAUGCAGGUUACCCGCGACAGGACGGAAAGACCCCGUGGAGCUUUACUGUAGCCUGAUAUUGAAAUUCGGCACAGCUUGUACAGGAUAGGUAGGAGCCUUUGAAACGUGAGCGCUAGCUUACGUGGAGGCGCUGGUGGGAUACUACCCUAGCUGUGUUGGCUUUCUAACCCGCACCACUUAUCGUGGUGGGAGACAGUGUCAGGCGGGCAGUUUGACUGGGGCGGUCGCCUCCUAAAAGGUAACGGAGGCGCUCAAAGGUUCCCUCAGAAUGGUUGGAAAUCAUUCAUAGAGUGUAAAGGCAUAAGGGAGCUUGACUGCGAGACCUACAAGUCGAGCAGGGUCGAAAGACGGACUUAGUGAUCCGGUGGUUCCGCAUGGAAGGGCCAUCGCUCAACGGAUAAAAGCUACCCCGGGGAUAACAGGCUUAUCUCCCCCAAGAGUUCACAUCGACGGGGAGGUUUGGCACCUCGAUGUCGGCUCAUCGCAUCCUGGGGCUGUAGUCGGUCCCAAGGGUUGGGCUGUUCGCCCAUUAAAGCGGUACGCGAGCUGGGUUCAGAACGUCGUGAGACAGUUCGGUCCCUAUCCGUCGUGGGCGUAGGAAAUUUGAGAGGAGCUGUCCUUAGUACGAGAGGACCGGGAUGGACAUACCUCUGGUGUACCAGUUGUCGUGCCAACGGCAUAGCUGGGUAGCUAUGUGUGGACGGGAUAAGUGCUGAAAGCAUCUAAGCAUGAAGCCCCCCUCAAGAUGAGAUUUCCCAACUUCGGUUAUAAGAUCCCUCAAAGAUGAUGAGGUUAAUAGGUUCGAGGUGGAAGCAUGGUGACAUGUGGAGCUGACGAAUACUAAUCGAUCGAAGACUUAAUCAA
rnacentral:rRNA from 1 species